rnacentral:rRNA from 1 species
AUUGUACGCUGGCGGCAGGCCUAACACAUGCAAGUCGAGCGGAUGAAGGGAGCUUGCUCCUGGAUUCAGCGGCGGACGGGUGAGUAAUGCCUAGGAAUCUGCCUGGUAGUGGGGGAUAACGUCCGGAAACGGGCGCUAAUACCGCAUACGUCCUGAGGGAGAAAGUGGGGGAUCUUCGGACCUCACGCUAUCAGAUGAGCCUAGGUCGGAUUAGCUAGUUGGUGGGGUAAAGGCCUACCAAGGCGACGAUCCGUAACUGGUCUGAGAGGAUGAUCAGUCACACUGGAACUGAGACACGGUCCAGACUCCUACGGGAGGCAGCAGUGGGGAAUAUUGGACAAUGGGCAAAAGCCUGAUCCAGCCAUGCCGCGUGUGUGAAGAAGGUCUUCGGAUUGUAAAGCACUUUAAGUUGGGAGGAAGGGCAGUAAGUUAAUACCUUGCUGUUUUGACGUUACCAACAGAAUAAGCACCGGCUAACUUCGUG